rnacentral:rRNA from 1 species
GACAGAGGGUGCAAGCGUUGUUCGGAAUUAUUGGGCGUAAAGGGUGCGUAGGCGGCCAGACAAGUCGGAUGUGAAAUCCCAGGGCUUAACCCUGGAAGUGCAUCCGAUACUGUCUAGCUUGAGUCCCGGAGAGGGUGGUGGAAUUCCCAGUGUAGAGGUGAAAUUCGUAGAUAUUGGGAGGAACACCGGUGGCGAAGGCGACCACCUGGACGGAGACUGACGCUGAGGCGCGAAAGCGUGGGGAGCAAACAGG